CCUACGGGCGGCAGCAGUGGGGGAUAUUGCACAAUGGGGGAAACCCUGAUGCAGCGACGCCGCGUGUGGGAAGACGGUCCUCUGGAUUGUAAACCACUGUCCCCAGGGACGAAGAUGACGGUACCUGGGGAGGAAGCUCCGGCUAACUACGGGCCAGCAGCCGCGGUAAUACGUAGGGAGCGAGCGUUGUCCGGAAUUACUGGGUGUAAGGGGAGCGUAGCCGGGGCUGCAAGUUGGGGGUCAAAUCUACCGGCUCAACCGGUAGCCGCACUCAAAACUGCAGUUCUUGAGUGAAGUAGAGGCAGGCGGAAUUCCUAGUGUAGCGGUGAAAUGCGUAGAUAUUAGGAGGAACACCAGUGGCGAAGGCGGCCUGCUGGGCUUUUACUGACGCUGAGGCUCGAAAGUGUGGGGAGCAAACAGGAUUAGAUACCCUUGUAGUC
rnacentral:rRNA from 1 species